rfam:Sugiyamaella lignohabitans strain CBS 10342 mitochondrion genome.
AUUCUAGUCGUUUAACCGGUAAGACAGGGUACUUCUAAUACCCUAAUUAAGGUUCGAGUCCUUACUAGAAUG